GAUGAACGCUGGCGGCGUGCCUAAUACAUGCAAGUCGAGCGAACAGACGAGGAGCUUGCUCCUCUGACGUUAGCGGCGGACGGGUGAGUAACACGUGGAUAACCUACCUAUAAGACUGGGAUAACUUCGGGAAACCGGAGCUAAUACCGGAUAAUAUAUUGAACCGCAUGGUUCAAUAGUGAAAGACGGUUUUGCUGUCACUUAUAGAUGGAUCCGCGCCGCAUUAGCUAGUUGGUAAGGUAACGGCUUACCAAGGCAACGAUGCGUAGCCGACCUGAGAGGGUGAUCGGCCACACUGGAACUGAGACACGGUCCAGCCUCCUACGGGAGGCAGCAGUAGGGAAUCUUCCGCAAUGGGCGAAAGCCUGACGGAGAAACGCCGCGUGAGUGAUGAAGGUCUUCGGAUCGUAAACCUCUGUUAUUAGGGAAGAAAAAAUGUGUAAGUAACUAUGCACGUCUUGACGGUACCUAAUAAGAAAGCCACAGCUACCUACGU
rnacentral:rRNA from 1 species